AGUGACUCCUAGUCAUGGCUUAAGAUUUUUAGGUUUCACUGUUUCUGUUUUGAUUCUUCCCUUUGGAAAACAGAGAAAAUGCAACAUUUAUCCAGUAGUGAAGGGUUUAUGAAGUUCUUCAGAGUUAGAUCUAAAUUAUCACAGCUGUCAAUAGUUGGGUCUCUUCAUCUUCCUGAUAUAUGGGGUAUACAACACAGAGGAAACGAUUCGUAAUUUUGCAGGCAUUUCUCGGCAUCCUCUGCUCUGCUCGGGGAGCGCAGAGUGAAUCCCAGCACAGAUCACACCGGGCCUAGCAGUGCGCGUUUUAUAAGGAGCCUAGGAGGCUGGGCAGCAGGGCCACGCGGCAAAGACUCCUCAGCCAGACUAGUUGGCUGCUUUCAGGUAGAACCAAAAGCGCCCUAGGUCAUCCAACUGCAGGCUGUGGAUUUUGAUCCUACAACUGGACUGCAAGCAGCGGAGCCCAGAAGGCCCCGAACCCCGGCCUCCUGCAACAUUGGGACCUCAGUUUCCCCCCCAUCCGCGCUCCGCCUGCCUCUUUUCUCUGCAGGCCGGUCCCGCGGAGUCCCGCCCCGCCGUCAGGGCAGCCCGCCAAUCACGCGG